UUUCGGGGAAUCUAGAGACAGGUGGUGCAUGGUUGUCGUCAGCUCGUGUCGUGAGAUGUUGGGUUAAGUCCCGCAACGAGCGCAACCCUUGUGAUUAGUUGCUACAUUUAGUUGAGCACUCUAAUCAGACUGCCGUUGACAAAACGGAGGAAGGUGGGGACGACGUCAAAUCAUCAUGCCCUUUAUGACCUGGGCUACACACGUACUACAAUGGUCGCUAACAGAGGGAUGCAAUGCCGCGAGGUGGAGCAAAACCCUAAAAGCGAUCUCAGUUCGGAUUGUAGGCUGCAACUCGCCUACAUGAAGUUGGAAUUGCUAGUAAUCGCGGAUCAGCAUGCCGCGGUGAAUACGUUCCCGGGCCUUGUACACACCGCCCGUCACACCAUGGGAGCCGGUAAUACCCGAAGUCAGUAGUCUAACCGCAAGGAGGACGCUGCCGAAGGUAGGAUUGGCGACUGGGGUGAAGUCGUAACAAGGUAGCCGUAUCGGAAGGUGCGGCUGGAUCACCUCCUUUAUG
rnacentral:rRNA from 1 species